rnacentral:rRNA from 2 species
GGGCAAUGGCGGCAUGCUACACAUGCAGUCGAACGAACCCUUCGGGGUUAGUGGCGCACGGGUGCGUAACGCGUGGGAACCUGCCUUUAGGUUCGGAAUAACUCAGAGAAAUUUGAGCUAAUACCGGAUAAUGUCUUCGGACCAAAGAUUUAUCGCCUUUAGAUGGGCCCGCGUUAGAUUAGAUAGUUGGUGGGGUAAUGGCCUACCAAGUCGACGAUCUAUAGCUGGUCUGAGAGGAUGAUCAGCCACACUGGGACUGAGACACGGCCCAGACUCCUACGGGAGGCAGCAGUGGGGAAUAUUGGACAAUGGGCGAAAGCCUGAUCCAGCAAUGCCGCGUGAGUGAUGAAGGCCUUAGGGUUGUAAAGCUCUUUUACCAGGGAUGAUAAUGACAGUACCUGGAGAAUAAGCUCCGGCUAACUCCGUGCCAGCAGCCGCGGUAAUACGGAGGGAGCUAGCGUUGUUCGGAAUUACUGGGCGUAAAGCGCGCGUAGGCGGCGAUCCAAGUCAGGGGUGAAAUCCCGGGGCUCAACCCCGGAACUGCCCUUGAAACUAGGUUGCUAGAAUACUGGAGAGGUGAGUGGAAUUCCGAGUGUAGAGGUGAAAUUCGUAGAUAUUCGGAAGAACACCAGUGGCGAAGGCGACUCACUGGACAGUUAUUGACGCUGAGGUGCGAAAGCGUGGGGAGCAAAACAGAAGA